rnacentral:rRNA from 1 species
UUCCGGUUGUUCCCCCCGGACCCGACUGCUAUCAGAAUAGGACUAAGCCAUGCGAGUCAACGUAGCAAUACGUGGCAUACGGCUCAGUAACACGUAGUCAACAUGCCCAGGGGACGUGGAUAACCUCGGGAAACUGAGGAUAAACCGCGAUAGACCAUAAUGUCUGGAAUGAUUUAUGGUUCAAAUCUAUAUGGCCCCUGGAUUGGACUGCGGCCGAUCAGGCUGUUGGUGAGGUAAUGGCCCACCAAACCUAAAACCGGUACGGGCUCUGAGAGGAGAGGCCCGGAGAUGGGCACUGAGACAAGGGCCCAGGCCCUAUGGGGCGCAGCAAGCGCGAAACCUCUGCCAUAAGCGAAAGCUUGAC